UACGGGGGGGGCAAGCGUUGUUCGGAAUUACUGGGCGUAAAGGGCGCGUAGGCGGCCUUCUAAGUCGAACGUGAAAUCCCCGGGCUCAACCCGGGAACUGCGUCCGAGACUGGAAGGCUCGAAUCCGGGAGAGGGAUGUGGAAUUCCAGGUGUAGCGGUGAAAUGCGUAGAUAUCUGGAGGAACAUCGGUGGCGAAGGCGGCAUCCUGGACCGGUAUUGACGCUGAGGCGCGAAAGCCAGGGGAGCAAACAGG
rnacentral:rRNA from 1 species